rnacentral:rRNA from 1 species
GAAAUGCGAUACGUAGUGUGAAUUGCAGAAUUCCGUGAAUCAUCGAAUCUUUGAACGCAUAUUGCGCUCAAGGCCUCGGCCAAGAGCAUGUCUGCCUCAGCGUCGGGUU